rnacentral:misc_RNA from 1 species
GAAACAGAAGACAUUAAUAUGGAAUAUCAAUUAGCUAAAUCAUCAAGAGAGAGCAUCACACAAGGUAAAUAAAAGAGCAAUUUUAGACCUUUGUCCUAAAUAGUUAUCCGAAACACUUCAAAACAUUUUUUGCAAUGUUACAUUACAGUUAUCAAAAAGAUAUCUGCUCACGAUAUAGAAGUUUGCAACAGUUUGCACUAUUCAGUAUUUACAGGAUCUAGCUUCAUGAAACACCAACCCAAACCCGUGCAACAUCAAAAAGAUAAAAUCAGAAAGGUCACUAAGAAGACAUGACUACUUCUAUUACCUAUAACCUGUCCAAAUUAUCAAAAACCGUGUUUUUACCUCGUCUGGACAUCUAGCUAGUGAGCACAGGAAUGCUAAAUAUAGCUUCAAAUCAGUUGUUGAUGCAGAUUUUCAGUAGUGUGUUACACAUUUAUACCCAGAUAGGAAGAAAAAAUGCCACUGAAUUGACUAUUCUCAUCAUAGUAUCUAUUUUGAGAACACAACUUCAAUUUACAAACAGCACUGAAAUUUUUCUUUUUCUGUUCACACCUAUAAAAUCCAUAAAAUUACUAAUCAAUAAUAAAUAAAUAAAAUAUUCUACAUUUUUCAGCAGCUGGAAGUUUUUGUAUCAUACAUUCAUAUGUUAAAUAAAGUUCACAAAUCUAUCCUGAAACUUCGUUAGAGUUUACUUGGCCAGUUAGCAACUUGCUCAAGCCCUUACACUUAAAGGCAUGGUUUAAAAAAUGGCAGUUGCAUUACAUAACAGCCAUUAUUUAUAGGUUUUUUGGCCCUUCGUUACCAUUUCCUCCUAUAUAUAACAGCAUUCUAAUUGUAGGUUGUAAUAGCUGUUAAGUAAUGGUUACACUGGAACAAAAUGCACGAUUACAUUGAAGAUUUUCUUUUCUGUUCU